GUGGGGAAUAUUGGGCAAUGGGCGAAAGCCUGACCCAGCAACGCCGCGGGAAGGAAGAAGGUUUUCGGAUCGUAAACUUCUAUCCUUGGUGAAGAUAAUGACGGUAGCCAAGAAGGAAGCCCCGGCUAACUACGUGCCAGCAGCCGCGGUAAUACGUAGGGGGCAAGCGUUGUCCGGAAUGAUUGGGCGUAAAGGGCGCGUAGGCGGCCCGGUAAGUCUGAAGUGAAAGUCCUGCUUUUAAGGUGGGAAUUGCUUUGGAUACUGUCGGGCUUGAGUGCAGGAGAGGUAAGCGGAAAUCCCGGUGUAGCGGUGAAAUGCGUAGAGAUCGGGAGGAACACCAGUGGCGAAGGCGGCUUACUGGACUGUAACUGACGCUGAGGCGCGAAAGUGUGGGGAGCAAACAGGAUUAGAAACCCCGGUAGUCC
rnacentral:rRNA from 1 species